rnacentral:rRNA from 1 species
GACGAACGCUGGCGGCGCGCUUAACACAUGCAAGUCGAGCGAGCGUAAAUGGCAGAAUCGAGUAGAACUUCUAAGCUUUUUAUUCAUUGAAUUUUACUUGCUAUUUAAGAUUAGUAGUAAGUCUUGUAAAACUUUUAAGCUUUUUAUUCAUUGAAUUUUACUUGCUAUUUAAGAUUAGUAGUAAGUCUUGUAAAACUUCUAAGCUUUUUAUUCAUUGAAUUUUACUUGCUAUUUAAGAUUAGCUAAUAAGUCUUAUUUAAAGUUUGAUGCUGGGUUCAUAUCGAAUCCUAAAAGUUCUUCUGGAUUCUGUCUUUUGCGUUAGCGGCGGACGGGUGAGUAAUACGUAGGUAACCUACCUGUUAGUGGGGAAUAACUACCGGAAACGGUAGCUAAUACCGCAUAAGUCGAAAGUCUCAUAUGAGAUUUCGGGAAAGGAGUUAUUAUUGCUAAAAAUUUUAGCUUUGAUUUGUCAAAGCAAAAAUUUUUAGUUUUAGUAUUUCGCUAACAGACGGGCUUACGUCCGAUUAGCUUGUUGGUGGGGUAAUGGCCUACCAAGGCUGCGAUCGGUAGCCGUACUGAGAGGUUCAACGGCCACAUCGGGACUGAGACACGGCCCGGACUCCUACGGGAGGCAGCAGUGGGGAAUAUUGCGCAAUGGAGGAAACUCUGACGCAGCGACGCCGCGUGAGGGAAGACGGUUUUCGGAUUGUAAACCUCUGUCCUCGGGAAAGAAAAAAAUGACGGUACCCGGGGAGGAAGCCCCGGCUAACUACGUGCCAGCAGCCGCGGUAAUACGUAGGGGGCGAGCGUUGUCCGGAUUUAUUGGGUGUAAAGGGCGUGUAGGCGGCCUGCUAGGUCGAGCGUGAAAUCCCGAAGCUUAACUUCGGAACCGCGCUCGAAACCGGCUAGCUUGAGUGGGAUAGAGGCGAGUGGAAUUUCCGGUGGAGCGGUGAAAUGCGUAGAUAUCGGAAGGAACACCAGUGGCGAAGGCGGCUCGCUGGGUCUUAACUGACGCUGAGGCGCGAAAGCAUAGGGAGCAAACAGGAUUAGAUACCCUGGUAGUCUAUGCUGUAAACGAUGAUUACUAGGUGUGGGGAGGUUGGACCUUUCUGUGCCUUAGUUAACACAAUAAGUAAUCCACCUGGGGAGUACGAUCGCAAGGUUGAAACUCAAAGGAAUUGACGGGGACCCGCACAAGCAGUGGAGUAUGUGGUUUAAUUCGACGAUACGCGAAAAAUCUUACCAGGCCUUGACAUUUUGACUAACGAAGUAGAAAUGCAUUAGGUGCCCUUUCGGGGGAAAGUCAUAACAGGUGGCGCAUGGUUGUCGUCAGCUCGUGUCGUGAGAUGUUGGGUUAAGUCCCGCAACGAGCGCGACCCUUACCAUCAGUUGCUACGAAAGAGAACUCUGAUGGGACUGCCGUUGAUAAAACGGAGGAAGGUGGGGAUGACGUCAAAUCCUCAUGCCCUUUAUGGCCUGGGCUACACACGUACUACAAUGGUCGGUACAAAAGGAUGCCAAAACGCAAGUUGGAGCGAAGCCUCUAAAGCCGGUCUCAGUUCGGAUUGUGGGCUGAAAUUCGCCCGCAUGAAGUUGGAAUUGCUAGUAAUCGCGGAUCAGCAUGCCGCGGUGAAUACGUUCCCGGGU